ACGGAGAACUAUUAUCAUUACUGUUGCAAUAAUAGCUGUUGUGUUCUGUUGCUUGGGCUUCUGUCGGUACGCUAACAAUCGUAAUUCACCUUCAAGCUCAAGUCCAGAUCAGAUGAUUUAACUGCUGGAUAUAAAGAACUCCGGUGAAGAGCCCAAACCAAAAACUUAAAGAGAGCUGCAUGUUGUUACAAAAAUAUACAAGAGAAG